AUGUUAGAUGGGGUGAGCUAGGACAUUAUGCAAAGUUUUAAGACGUCUGAAGGGCAAUCUAGGGAUUUCACCCUGCUCCAACUCAUCGCCCUGAACAUCAAUCGUAGUCGUUCUUUAAUGCGCUAACUUUCAGUUUUGCUUUCCAAAUGUUCUUCCCUUGCUCCCUCCCACCUAUAUAUGGGGCUUCCUCUUAAUCUCUCUGCCGAUGCCGUAAGGUGUAAGAGGAUGAGUUAAUUUCAUUCCAAACCCUUGAUUAAUAAUCAGUUUCAUCCCUUUACAGUUGAUUUGUCGAUUUAUAGAAGCAAGGUUCGUAGAUUGCCUUCAAUCUGCUGUUCGUCAAACCUAGGUCACUGAUUUCAACUCUGCUGCCGAUUGCCGGAGCGUGAAUUGGAUGGUUUCGAGGUUAAGGAGUCGGUUUUUAUAGUGGUGAGCCGGUGACGUGGCGGCGUUGAAGAAGUAAAGGCUGUGGAGACGGUGGUGCUUGGAUCGCUGUUUGGGCUCUGGUGUCUGUUUAACAUUAAUUUCAGUCAUAUUAUGAUAUAAUUCUAGGUUUCUUUUGAUUAAUUUCAGUUUUGUUUGUUUGUUUAACCUCUAAUUUAUAACAUGGGGAUGUUGGGCGACUGAGAGACUGAUAACAAUCCACACAAUUUCAUGAUUUUUGCAAAGAAACUGAUGGUGCCAAUUGCUCUACUCUUAAUUGUGUGGAUGAACUGGAAUUAUCCUGUUAUUCUUGGAGUUAAAGUGAUACUUAUUCUUCUUAGUACAAAACCCAGCCCGUUCUCAGUUUAUGUAUUCAUUAAACAGUUGCAGCAACAAUACAGAGGCCGACACCCCAUCUUACACAAAUUCAAGGAACAUUGGAAGACAUGAAGAGUGGUGGAUCAAAAAGAAAAGAUAGUAGUCAAAGCAAGGAUGAGGAUAUGCUGCGAAGUAAAGGUGAAUAAUCUAUUUGAUAUUAUUUACAUUGGAUUAAGAUAGGUUACUAUUUUUGAAUUUUAAUAUGUAAUCCAACAUGAGAAAUAUUAUAUAUAUCCCUUAGAGAUACAGUCAUAUUUCAAGUUGUACUAUGAAUUCAACAACUUCCAAAUUCGUUUGUAUAAGUUUUAAUGUACCACCAGA